rnacentral:rRNA from 1 species
UGUGAAGUCAUUGAUGCCAUGCUUCCAGGAAAAGCCUCUAAGCUUCAGAUUGUAAGGAAUCGUACCCCAAACCGACACAGGUGGUCGGGUAGAGAAUACCAAGGCGCUUGAGAGAACUCGGGUGAAGGAACUAGGCAAAAUGGUACCGUAACUUCGGGAGAAGGUACGCUCUUGAUGGUGAAGUCCCUCGCGGAUGGAGCUAUU